GGCCUGCUAGCUCAGUCGGUUAGAGCGUCGUGCUAAUAACGCAAAGGUCGUAGGUUCGAUCCCUGCGCAAGCCA
rnacentral:tRNA from 1 species